rnacentral:rRNA from 1 species
ACGGAAGGCAGCAGUGGGGAAUAUUGCACAAUGGGGGAAACCCUGAUGCAGCGACGCCGCGUGGAGGAAGAAGGUCUCCGGAUUGUAAACUCCUGUUGUUAGGGACGAUAAUGACGGUACCCGAGGAGGAAGCCACGGCUAACUACGUGCCAGCAGCCGCGGUAAUACGUAGGUGGCGAGCGUUGUCCGGAAUUACUGGGUGUAAAGGGAGCGUAGGCGGGUAUGCAAGUUGAAUGUGAAAUCUAUCGGCUCAACUGAUAGGCUGCGUUCAAAACUGUAUAUCUUGAGUGAAGUAGAGGCAGGCGGAACUCCUGGUGUAGCGGUGAAAUGCGUAGAUAUCAGGAGGAACACCGGUGGCGAAGGCGGCCUGCUGGGCUUUUACUGACGCUGAGGCUCGAAAGCAUGGGUAGCAAACAGGAUUAGAUACCCUGGUA